GAGUUUGAUCCUGGCUCAGGACGAACGCUGGCGGCACGCCUAACACAUGCAAGUCGAACGGAGAUAUGAAGAUUUAUCGGAAUAUCUUAGUGGCGGACGGGUGAGUAACACGUGAGCAACCUGCCUUUGAGAGUGGAAUAGCUUCUGGAAACGGAUGGUAAUGCCUCAUAACAUACAAGAAUCGCAUGGUUUUUGUAUCAAAGAUUUAUCGCUCAAAGAUGGGCUCGCGUCUGAUUAGAUAGUUGGUGGGGUAACGGCUCACCAAGUCGACGAUCAGUAGCCGGACUGAGAGGUUGAACGGCCACAUUGGGACUGAGACACGGCCCAGACUCCUACGGGAGGCAGCAGUGGGGAAUAUUGCACAAUGGGGGAAACCCUGAUGCAGCGAUGCCGCGUGGAGGAAGAAGGUUUUCGGAUUGUAAACUCCUGUCUUAAAGGACGAAAAUGACGGUACUUUAGGAGGAAGCCCCGGCUAACUAUGUGCCAGCAGCCGCGGUAAUACAUAGGGGGCAAGCGUUAUCCGGAAUUAUUGGGUGUAAAGGGUGCGUAGACGGGUGUUUAAGUUGGUUGUGAAAUCCCUCGGCUCAACUGAGGAACUGCAACCAAAACUGGAUAUCUUGAGUGUC
rnacentral:rRNA from 1 species